rnacentral:rRNA from 1 species
AACGAACGCUGGCGGCAUGCCUAACACAUGCAAGUCGAACGAGACCUUCGGGUCUAGUGGCGCACGGGUGCGUAACGCGUGGGAACCUGCCCUUAGGUUCGGAAUAACUCACCGAAGGGGGUGCUAAUACCGGAUAAUGUCUUCGGACCAAAGAUUUAUCGCCGUGGGAUGGGCCCGGGUUGGAUUAGCUAGUUGGUAGGGUAAAAGCCUACCAUGGCUACGAUGCAUAGCUGGUGUGAGAAGAUGCCACGCCACACUGGGACUGAGACACGGCCCAGACUCCUACGGGACGGAGCAGUGGGGAAUAUUGGACACUGGGCGAAAGCGUGAUCCAGCAAUGCCGCGUGAGUGAUGAAGGCCGUAGGGUUGUAAAGCUCUUUUACCCGGGAUGAUAAUGACAGUACCGUGAGAAUAAGCUCCGGCUAACUCCGUG